AUUGAACGCUGGCGGCAGGCUUAACACAUGCAAGUCGAGCGGGGAAAGGUAGCUUGCUACUGGACCUAGCGGCGGACGGGUGAGUAAUACUUAGGAAUUUGCCUAUUAGUGGGGGACAACGUUUUGAAAGGGACGCUAAUACCGCAUACGCCCUACGGGGGAAAGCAGGGGAUUUUUGGACCUUGCGCUAAUAGAUGAGCCUAAGCCGGAUUAGCUAGUUGGUGGGGUAAAGGCCUACCAAGGCGACGAUUUGUAGCGGGUUUGAGAGGAUGAUUCGCCACACUGGGACUGAGACACGGCCCAGACUCCUACGGGAGGCAGCAGUGGGGAAUAUUGGACAAUGGGGGAAACCCUGAUCCAGCCAUGCCGCGUGUGUGAAGAAGGCCUUUUGGUUGUAAAGCACUUUAAGCGAGGAGGAGGAGCUUUAGGUUAAUACCUUAGAUGCUUGGACGUUACUCGCAGAAUAAGCACCGGCUAACUUUGUG
rnacentral:rRNA from 1 species